rnacentral:lncRNA from 1 species
AAUAAUUUGUGUGGGUUUUGGAUAUGGUGGGAAUCUUGUCUACGUCUUCUCAAUCAUAAACGUUUUUAGGCUUGUUUGGAGGAAGGGGAUGAUUAUGAAGUCAUUCCUAACAGUAAUUUCUAUGUAUCCAGAACGGCCUGCAGAGAUAAUACUUCUGUCUAUCACAUAAGUGGAAAGAAAAAGACAUUUAAGGAUGUUGGAAAUCUUCUUCGAAGCCAUGGAAUUGACUUGGACCAUAAUAGAUUUUUAAUUUUACAGGGUGAAGUUGAACAAAUUGCUAUGAUGAAACCAAAAGGCCAGACUGAACACGAUGAGGGUAUGCUUGAAUAUUUAGAAGAUAUAAUUGGUUGUGGACGGCUAAAUGAACCUAUUAAAGUCUUGUGUCGGAGAGUUGAAAUAUUAAAUGAACACAGAGGAGAGAAGUUAAACAGGGUAAAGAUGGUGGAAAAGGAAAAGGAUGCCUUAGAAGGAGAGAAAAACAUAGCUAUCGAAUUUCUUACCUUGGAAAAUGAAAUAUUUAGAAAAAAGAAUCAUGUUUGUCAAUAUUAUAUUUAUGAGUUGCA